GGGGUUAUCUCGAGUGCAGUCCGAUAAGGGCUGCUUUUCCAUAGAGUAAUAUCCUGUGGGAAUAAGAGGGGGGCAAGACUGGUGUCAGCCGCCGCGGCAACACCAGCCCCUCGAGUGGUGGGGACUAUUAUUUGGCCUAAAGCGUCCGUAGCUGGCUGUAUCCGUCUCCCGGUAAAUCCGGCGUCCUAAGCGUCGGUUCUCGGGUGAUACCAUACAGCUAGAGGGUGGGAUAGGUGAGCGGUAUUUCUGGGGUAGGGGCGAAAUCCUUUGAUCCCAGGAGGACCACCAGUGGCGAAGGCUGCUCACUAGAACACGCCUGACGGUCAGGGACGAAAGCUGGGGCAGCGAACCGGAUUAGAUACCCGGGUAGUCCCAGCUGUAAACGAUGCUAGCUAGGUGUUGGGUCGGCCACGCGCCGCCCCAGUGCCGCAGGGAAGCCGUUAAGCUAGCCGCCUGGGGAGUACAGCCGCAAGGCUGAAACUUAAAGGAAUUGGCGGGGGAGCAC
rnacentral:rRNA from 1 species